GACGGACGGUGCAAGCGUUGCUCGGAAUCACUGGGCGUAAAGGGUGCGUAGGCGGCCGUGCAAGUCUGGCGUGAAAGCCCCGGGCUCAGCCCGGGAAGUGCGCUCGAAACUGCGCGGCUCGAGUGCCGGAGGGGAGAGUGGAAUUCCUGGUGUAGCGGUGAAAUGCGUAGAUAUCAAGAGGAACACCUGAGGUGAAGACGGGUUGCUGGGCCGACACUGACGCUGAGUGCGCGAAAGCCAGGGGAGCAAACGGG
rnacentral:rRNA from 1 species